GACGAACGCUGGCGGCGUGCUUAACACAUGCAAGUCGAACGAGGUCCAAGGAGUAGCAAUACUCCCGAAGACCUAGUGGCGAACGGGUGCGUAACACGUGAGGAACUUGUCCCGGUCUCUGGGAUAACAGUUGGAAACGACUGCUAAUACCGGAUGACGUCGGAGCAUCGCAUGGUGCGCUGACGAAAGGGUUACUGGAUCGGGAGAGCCUCGCGGCCUAUCAGCUAGUUGGUGGGGUAACGGCCUACCAAGGCAACGACGGGUAGCUGGUUUGAGAGAACGAUCAGCCACACUGGGACUGAGACACGGCCCAGACUCCUACGGGAGGCAGCAGUGGGGAAUCUUGCGCAAUGGGCGAAAGCCUGACGCAGCAACGCCGCGUGUGGGAAGAAGGAGCUUAGCUUCGUAAACCACUGUCGGAGGGGACGAAUGAUAGGUUAGACCUAUUGAGACGGUACCCUCAAAGGAAGGAUCGGCUAACUACGUGCCAGCAGCCGCGGUAAU
rnacentral:rRNA from 1 species